AAUGAACUUGAGGCUGCUAAAUCUGAGAUUCAAAGUUGGCAUUCUUCAAUUCAAAAUGAGCCUUGUGUACCUGCUGGUGCCACUCCUGAGCCCAAAAUGUUGCUUGAUUAUCUUCAGGCCCUGAAAUCCUCAGAAGAGUCUUUAAGAGAGCAGCUUUUAAAGGCAAAGAAAAAGGAAGCUGCGUUCAUUGUAACAUUUGCAAAACGAGAACAAGAGAUAGCAAAGUUGAAGGUAUCAUGCUCAAAAUAAGAUUUUUUCUAUAGCAUGGCUGUAUAUGUGCAAUUACAUUUCUUUCUGACAUCAACUUUGACCACCUGAGUAAAAUUUA